rnacentral:tRNA from 1 species
CCUCGGGGUAGGUGGCGGUCGCGCCGUCCAGCACCGGCUUGGGCAGGGCGCCAAGGGGCGAGCCCAGGGUGAGCUCGGUGCCCUCCUCGGAGGC